rnacentral:lncRNA from 1 species
CGGGUGCAUGAGAACUUGCAAUACAGGAGCUGAACCAGUGAGGGUCCCAGGGUGCUUCUCAGAGAAGGUGAUAAUGAGAUGUAGUUCUCACCUGAAAGAAAGCAGCAGGGAACUGUGGUGGGCAGGGCUGCAGAGCAGAGGAGGGGAUUCGUGCUCAAGGAAACAGCAACAGUGCCGGGGAGGCGUGAAAGCAUCCAGAAUACUAAUGCUCAAAACAUGCCAAAAAACAAGGAGCAACAAAACAAUGGAAAUGGACAUUACCUGUUGAUUCCUGGGCAAGGUCAAGAAUUUGGUAGACAUACUUAAAGAAGAAAGGAAUCUUCAGCUAAAGUGUCUACGAUUCAUUCAGAUUUGGAGGGCAUGGAUCUUCUGACAGUAGGGGCCAUUCUAGGAUUUUUUGGUUGAAGGUGAGUGAGAAUUUGGUACAUGCAAGGGGAUGGAUGACUCCAAGGGCAGAGAAAGGAAAAUCAAGUGAGUUGAAGAAGGAAGUACAGUGGUAGAGACCAACUGACUUCACUCAUGACCAUUCAACAAUGUGUUGGCUUGUGUAAGGCUGUGGAGCUCAUUAGAGGAUUUGAAGAUGUUCAACCUUACAACAUACUCAGUGAUCGUGUGUCCUAGAUAUAGCACAGCUUCUCCAGGGACUAGAGGGAACACAAAAGUGGGGCUGAGGAGAAGGAGGUAAAAAAAUUGAUAGAGGGCUAUUUUGCCUAAAUCAGGAUGACAUCAGAGGAGCUUGGAUUACACCUAUAAUAUUGGGUUGGUGCAAAAGUAAUUGCGAUUUUUGCCGUUUCUUUUAAUUUGCCAAACAUUCUAUUGACUAUUCCAGAACUACAGCUUACCUAACUUACUGGGGUGGUGAAAAAGUAAUUGCAGUUUUAACUCUCUAAAUCUAGGUCUAACCCGUUUAGAU